UACGUAGGGGGCUAGCGUUGUCCGGAAUUAUUGGGCGUAAAGCGCUCGCAGGCGGUUUCUUAAGUCUGAUGUGAAAGCCCACGGCUCAACCGUGGAGGGUCAUUGGAAACUGGGAGACUUGAGUGCAGAAGAGGAGAGUGGAAUUCCACGUGUAGCGGUGAAAUGCGUAGAGAUGUGGAGGAACACCAGUGGCGAAGGCGACUCUCUGGUCUGUAACUGACGCUGAGGAGCGAAAGCGUGGGGAGCAAACAGG
rnacentral:rRNA from 1 species